rnacentral:lncRNA from 1 species
AAUGACGCGAAACUCCUGCCUUAAAGCCCUAAAUGGCGGCUUCAAUAUCAGUCCCACUGAGCAUGAAAUUCAUUUACUUAAAUAAAAUCUGAAUCUCAGCCCAAACCUGGGAGAUUCAAAACCUGAGAGCGGUCUUACCAAAGACGCCCGUAUGUCUGGUGAAGUCAGUUGGAUGCAAGCAGUUUGUGCUGGUACCAGGGCCCCAGCUACUGAUGAAGUGGCAGGAGUCCACAGAAGCCUACUUCGAAGUUCCCGGGGCUUCCAGGGGAGAUUGACGAGAUUCCUGGGGAGGCGAUUCAUGACAGCUGAGUUCCUUUUGGAGGAUCCGUCUUCAGGCAGUCUGAUCCCCCAGGAAAGCAGCUGGAAAACAAGAGCAUGUGAAGGAAGCGCAGCAGCUCCUCGCCAGCCAGACAGCCAGCCCCGCACCGCAGGAGUCGACAUGCACGGCAGCCUAGACGCCAUCAGUUAAACUUAUAUGUAGGCUUGUUGAGGAAAACGACUUUCAAACACAAGGCAAAAGAAAAACAUGAAACCAAGGGUUCCAACAUUCAUCAUCCAGUUUCAGAGACACCCUUGAAGGAAUGCUACAGCCUCUUUCUUACCCAUUCAAACCAGUCGCUCUGCUGCAUACCCACAUCACAGGAGGCCCUCAGCCCCGACACACAGGCUCACUCAGCCCGGGGACAUCAGCACCUGUGCCAGCUCCGCAAGGUAUCCACCAUGCGGCCAGAACUGAGGCCCAGCAAUAGCUGAAAUGUCCUUUAAAUUAACAUGUACAACACACAACCCCCAAGAGCUGACAUCCCCAAAGCCCCACCACAAAUAGCUGACUCCUACUUAUACCUGCAGGAGCAGGUAGUGACCUCUGCAAUUCUAAACCGUCCACUUUGGGCAAAAUUCAUCAAGCUAUGGAUAUGAAAAAAGGCCCCCAAGGAUAUGAUUCAUAGUCCAGCGUUUGAGUGAGCACUCCAGUCAGAACGAACUCUGCAUUGUGAACAUCUGAACAGGGUGGAAACAGACACUUUAGUUAGAGAUCCACUGCUGUGCGUGCACACAUACUCACACAGGGCAAUGACGGACUCGCUGGCGGACUCCACUCUACCCACCGAGUUCUGCUUGUGCUCCAUGAGCUUCCGGAAAGAUGGCUGCUUGGAUAACACCUUUCCUCCUGCACACUCUACGAUUGCCUUCAUAGUGGAAAGACUUGGGCAGAUUCCAGUAAAGAAAAGUUCUCUAGAGAUGUGCUGUGGUUCACAGGAGGAAGACCUCCAGUGGCAAUGUCCAAGAAGGAAGCCAAGAGUGUACCUUAAAGAGUGGAGAAACGUGUGCCCGUUUUAAGGAUUCUUCCAAGCUGAAAGAGAAAAGUACUUCUGCCUCAGCAUCUCGGAGAAUGUAGUUCUGCUCAUCUGGAAAACAGAACAGCACAUACUCUGAAAAGUGUGGACACGUGAAGUGUGGCAAGUGUGACCCACAAAAUUCUCGCCCAUAUUCAGCGUAUGGACCAGUUUGCUGACUGCUGGGCAGGAGCAACCACAUCAUGACAGAAAUGCAGGGAUCUGUUCACCAACGGCCAGAAAUACAAAAUCAAUCCCUGAGUCAACCAGCAGAUAGAAAGGCUGCUUUUUAGGUGAAAGGAGAAAAAGAAUGUCUAAAAUUUGGAAAAACAAAAAAUGAUGAAUUAAAAAAGGAACAAAAAAAGUACUGUUACACAUGAGAUGGUAUAUUUGAAGUGUUACUUUCAAAGCUGAUAUGCCUUCUGAAGAACUUGUGUGAGAUCACCAAGAAUAGUUAAUGUUUAUGAUAGAGAAAACACCACCGGGCGCGGUGGCUCACGCCUAUAAUCCCAGCACUUUGGGAGGCCGAGGUGGGCGGAUCUCUUGAGGUCAGGAGUUCAAGACCAGCCUGGCCAACAUGGUGAAACCCUGUCUCUACUAAAAAAUACAAAAAAAUUUAGCCAGGCGUCGUCGUGGUGGGCGCCUGCAGUCCCAGCUACUAGGGAGGCUGAGGCAGGAGAAUGGCUUGAACCCAGGAGGCAGAGGUUGUAGUAAGCCAAUGGCACCACUCUACUCCAGCCUGAGCAACAGACUGGGUGAGACUCUGUCUUAAAAAGAAAAGAAAGUAAUAUUGAAAAAUACAGUAAUACAGCUAAGACGAUCCUGUCACAGAUGAGACAUUGAGAUUUUGGUUUUUUCAAACAGGGUUAUGUUACCUUAGUAGUAGCAAUGUAAAGACUCAACCUGAACAUUAAACUUUUCAUGGAAGUACAAAAGAAAUGAGUAUCCUAGAAAUUGAUUAUAAUAUUGAUGUCUCAAAUUUUAUGUAAGUUACACAUAAAUAUAAAAUCCCAAAAACAUGCACCUACCAAAACAGGUGGAGAAAAGAGUGUUUUCAACAAAUGAUGCUGGAACAACUGCACAUCCAUAUGCAAUAAAAGGAAGCUGGACACAGACUUUACCCUCUUUUAAAAAAAACUGACCCAAAAAUGGAACACAGACCUAAAUGUAAAAUGCAAAACUAUGAAACUCCUAGAAGAUAACACAGGAGAGAAUCUAAGGGACCUUGAGUUUGGCAAUGACUUUUUAGAUACAACACCAAAGACACAAUCCAUGAAAGAAAUAAGAAGUAACCUGGACCUCACCUAUUAGAAUGGCCAAAACCCAGAGCACUAACACCAGCAUAUGCUGAGGAGGAUGUGGAGCAACAGGAGCUCCCAUUCACUGCAGGUGGGAAUGCAAAAUGGCACAGGCACUUCAGAAGACAGCCUGGCGGUUUCUUACAAAGCUAAACAUACUCUUACCAUAUGAUCAAGCAAUUGCAACCUUGUUGAUUUACCAAAAGGAGUUGAAAACUUACGUCCACACUAAAACCUGUACAUGGAUGUUUUAGCAGCUUUACUGCUAACUGCGAAAAUUUAGAAUCAGCUAAGAUGUCCUUGUGUAGGUGAGGGGCUGAACAGAUACAUUCUGACAAUGGAAUAUUAUUUAGUGCUAAAAAGAAAUGCUUUAUGAAGCCAUGAAAAGACAUGGAGGAAGCUGGGACGUAUAUUGCUAAGCAAAGGAAGCAAAUCUGAAAAUCCUAUAUACUGUAUGAUUCCCAAUAUGUAACAUUCUGGAAAGGGCAAGACUAUAGAAAGAAUAAAAGAUCAGUGGUUGCCAGGGGUCAGCAGGCAGGAAGGAAUGAGUGGGUGGAGCACAGAGGAUUUUCAGGGCAGUGGAACAACUCCAUAUGACGCUGUAAAGCAAAAUCAUGUCCUUACACAUUUGUUAAAACCCAAUGACUGUUCAAGGCCAAGAGUGAGCCCUAAUGUAACUAUGGACUUUGGGUGACUGGCCAAGAGUGAGCCCUAAUGUAACUAUGGACUCUGGGUGACUAGCCAAGAGUGAGCCCUAAUGUAACUAUGGACUUCAGGUGACUGGCCAACAGGGAGCCCUAAUGUAACUAUGGACUUCGGGUGACUGGCCAAGAGUAAGCCCUAAUGUAACUAUGGACUUUGGGUGACUAUGACCCAAAUGUCAAUGUAGCUUCAUUAACAGUUAAUAAACAUUUCACUGUGGUGUGGGAUGGUGACUGUAGUGGGGGUGGCGGUGUGUGUGCAUGGGUAUGGGCUGGGGUAUAUGGGAACUCACUGUACUUUCUGUAAUUUUGCUGUGAACUUAAAACUGCCCUAAAAAUUGUCUAUUUUUAAAAAACAAUAAUUAUAAACUGGAAAAAUUCUCUUAGGAAAUCCUAAAAUAUGGAAGAUAAAAUAUGAAAUGUUUUCUCAGUAUUAAAUGUUUAUAACAACCACUUUCUAACCCUCAGAGAGCAACACAGCAAAUACUUAUUAACAGUGCCAUAAAGAAAUAAAAGCUAGUCAACCAAAACUUCCCAUUAAAUAGGAACUGUAAACUUUAUAUACAGAUAAAACAACCACAUUUUCACAAACUGAAACUUGAAAAAUUAAGUAAAUUGGUCAUUCACUAAAUUGGCUGCUUGGCAAACUAAUUUUCAAAGAAUUAGCAUGUUCUUGGUUGGAAAAGAAAAAGAAUAAGCAAAGUCAGAAAGUAACAAAAAAGAUCUCUAAAGCUGGGUGUUGCCCAAAAGCAGCCGAUGGAGCCAACCAGAGGCUGGAACAUUACAGACCCGCUUUCCCCACCACCCAAGCUGGUGUAUGCCAUGCUCCCACAGCAGAAGCUAAAAAAGUACACUUACUAUUUCUAUUAACGAAUAGACUAUCUCCUUCUAAACUGUAUAACAUUAUAUGAAAUUGGAAGCUAAAAUGUUUGUAGUAAUUGUUUCUACUAUGUUCUUCUUCUGCCUUCAUUGUUAAGUUUUAUGUUUCAUUAAUACCUUUUUAGAGUCAAAAAAUUUUCAAAAUUUCAAUUAAAAAAAUUUCUAAAUACCA